UGGGGAAUAUUGGACAAUGGGCGAAAGCCUGAUCCAGCCAUGCCGCGUGUGUGAAGAAGGUCUUCGGAUUGUAAAGCACUUUAAGUUGGGAGGAAGGGCAGUAAGCGAAUACCUUGCUGUUUUGACGUUACCGACAGAAUAAGCACCGGCUAACUCUGUGCCAGCAGCCGCGGUAAUACAGAGGGUGCAAGCGUUAAUCGGAAUUACUGGGCGUAAAGCGCACGUAGGUGGUUCGUUAAGUUGAAUGUGAAAGCCCCGGGCUCAACCUGGGAACUGCAUCCAAAACUGGCGAGCUAGAGUAGGGCAGAGGGUGGUGGAAUUUCCUGUGUAGCGGUGAAAUGCGUAGAUAUAGGAAGGAACACCAGUGGCGAAGGCGACCACCUUGGCUCAUACUGACACUGAGGUGCGAAAGCGUGGGGUGCAAACAGG
rnacentral:rRNA from 1 species